rnacentral:rRNA from 1 species
ACACUGCACGCCAGUGCGAUAAGGGGAUCCCAAGUGCGUAGGCAUAGAGCCUACGCUUUUGUCCACCCUAGGGUGGUGGACGAAUAAGGGCUGGGCAAGACCGGUGCCAGCCGCCGCGGUAAUACCGGCAGCCCGAGUGAUGGCCGAUCUUAUUGGGCCUAAAGCGUCCGUAGCUGGCCGCACAAGUCCAUCGGGAAAUCCACCUGCUCAACAGGUGGGCGUCCGGUGGAAACUGUGUGGCUUGGGACCGGAAGGCGCGACGGGUACGUCCGGGGUAGGAGUGAAAUCCCGUAAUCCUGGACGGACCGCCGAUGGCGAAAGCACGUCGCGAAAACGGAUCCGACAGUGAGGGACGAAAGCUAGGGUCUCGAACCGGAUUAGAUACCCGGGUAGUCCUAGCCGUAAACACUGCCUGCUAGGUGUGGCACCCACUACGAGUGGGUGCUGUGCCGUAGGGAAGCCGCUAAGCAGCCGCCU